GCGGGAUUACCCCCUGCUUAUAUAAAACCUGCCGCUAGGGGGCGUAGCGACCCGGGCGCGGUGCGAGCAGAGCCGGGGAACAGGGAGCUGUCAAGGGGCUAGAGGUCCACACUGCAGUGGUCCAGAACUAUUCCUGGAGUCAGAGAAGUCUAUUAUAACCAUUUUCAGUGCCCUUUGAUGGAUUGAGAAAAAGUGAGGGAUAUGCAUCAUCUCCACCCCAGAUCCUUAUCACUUGCAUAUCUUAGAAUGUCGCGUCAUGCAUCAGUAUGUCUGAAUGCCAGCAGUGCAGCAACACAACUAUAACGAAGACAGAAUGUGCCAAAAAGACAUCAACUCCUUACCAACCGUUGCUUUUCAGCCAGACUCUCAGUCAGCAACAGACUCGUUAUGGAACUAUAUGCUUGGAGAAGCAGCCACUGAAAACAGGGAGGGUUGUGGGAAUAGUCUGUGGGAUAGAAUGAACACAGUAAGUGCCAUUGAACCCUUUCUCCAUGGACUAGAAGUGCAAAAUACUAUGGAAACUCAAAUAUAUAUUUU
rnacentral:lncRNA from 1 species